rnacentral:rRNA from 1 species
GAUGAACGCUGGCGGCGUGCCUAAUACAUGCAAGUAGAACGCUGAAGGAGGAGCUUGCUCUUCUGGAUGAGUUGCGAACGGGUGAGUAACGCGUAGGUAACCUGCCUGGUAGCGGGGGAUAACUAUUGGAAACGAUAGCUAAUACCGCAUGACAACAGUUAUUGCAUGAUAACUGUUUAAAAGGGGCAACUGCUCCACUACCAGAUGGACCUGCGUUGUAUUAGCUAGUUGGUGAGGUAACGGCUCACCAAGGCGACGAUACAUAGCCGACCUGAGAGGGGGAGCGGCCACACUGGGACUGAGACACGGCCCAGACUCCUACGGGAGGCAGCAGUAGGGAAUCUUCGGCAAUGGACGGAAGUCUGACCGAGCAACGCCGCGGGAGUGAAGAAGGGUUUCGGAUCGUAAAGCUCGGUUGUAAGAGAAGAACGAGUGUGAGAGUGGAAAGUUCACACUGUGACGGUAUCUUACCAGAAAGGGACGGCUAACUACGUG